rnacentral:antisense_RNA from 1 species
GUAGGAGUGAGCCUGCUCGCGAUAGCGGUCCGUCAGUCAGCAUUUCAAUACCUGACCCACCGCUAUCGCGAGCAGGCUCACUCCUAC